rnacentral:rRNA from 1 species
GUGUCAGCCGCCGCGGUAAUACGUAGGGUCCGAGCGUUGUCCGGAGUUACUGGGCGUAAAGCGCGCGCAGGUGGUCCAUUAAGCCCGGCGUGAAAGCCCCCGGCUCAACCGGGGAGGGUCGUCGGGGACUGGUGGACUUGAGGGCGGCAGGGGCUGGUGGAAUCCCCGGUGUAGUGGUGAAAUGCGUAGAGAUCGGGGGGAACACCCGUGGCGAAGGCGGCCAGCUGGGCCGACCCUGACACUGAGGCGCGAAGGCGUGGGGAGCGAACGGGAUUAGAUACCCGUGUAGUCC